rnacentral:rRNA from 1 species
AAUGAACGCUGGCGGCAUGCCUUACACAUGCAAGUCGAACGGCAGCAUGACCUAGCUUGCUAGGUUGAUGGCGAGUGGCGAACGGGUGAGUAAUGCAUCGGAACGUGCCUUUUAGUGGGGGAUAACGUAGCGAAAGUUACGCUAAUACCGCAUAUUCUCCGAGGAGGAAAGCAGGGGGCCUUCGGGCCUUGCGCUAGAAGAGCGGCCGAUGUCGGAUUAGCUAGUUGGUGAGGUAAAGGCUCACCAAGGCAACGAUCCGUAGCGGGUCUGAGAGGAUGAUCCGCCACACUGGGACUGAGACACGGCCCAGACUCCUACGGGAGGCAGCAGUGGGGAAUUUUGGACAAUGGGCGCAAGCCUGAUCCAGCCAUGCCGCGUGAGUGAAGAAGGCCUUCGGGUUGUAAAGCUCUUUCGGCUGGGAAGAAAUCGCACUCUCUAAUACAGGGUGUGGAUGACGGUACCAGCAUAAGAAGCACCGGCUAACUACGUG